rnacentral:lncRNA from 1 species
UUUGCUUAAGUCUCCCAUAGAUUACCGUACAACAUUAAAAAGCAUACGUAAUUAUCUAAAAUGAAACUAAUGCCUUAAACAUGAUACCUCUAUUAUUAUUAUUAUUUUAUAACCUUAAUUUGAUAAACUAACAAAACAAAUCAUGAUUAGCCAUAUUAAGAGUUGAAACAGAGGGAUGUUAAUCAUUUCAUAAUUGCAUACGAAUUCAUUAUAACUAGUUUAAACAACUUUUGCAAAUUUUAAGUAUGAAGAAAUGUACCAACACUUNNN